AUUGAACGCUGGCGGCAGGCCUAACACAUGCAAGUCGAACGAGUGGCGGACGGGUGAGUAAUGUCUGGGAAACUGCCUGAUGGAGGGGGAUAACUACUGGAAACGGUAGCUAAUACCGCAUACCAUCAGAUGUGCCCAGAUGGGAGUAGCUAGUAGGUGGGGGAACGGCUCACCUAGGCGACGAUCCCUAGCUGGUCUGAGAGGAUGACCAGCCACACUGGAACGGAGACACGGUCCAGACUCCUACGGGAGGCAGCAGUGGGGAAUAUUGCACAAUGGGCGCAAGCCUGAUCCAGCCAUGCCGCGUGUAUGAAGAAGGCCUUCGGGUUGUAAAGUACUUUCAGCUAGGAGGCGUUACUCGCAGAAGAAGCACCGGCUAACUCCGUGCCAGCAGCCGCGGUAAUUC
rnacentral:rRNA from 1 species